AUCCUUCUGUAGUUCCUCUCCGUGAUGAUUGCAUGUUGACGGGCAGGGGUGAGAUGUGCCUUCUCCAAGUGUUCUUACGACAUCAAUACACUUCCCAUCUAACA
rnacentral:snoRNA from 1 species